rnacentral:rRNA from 1 species
UAGCGUAUAUUAAAGUUGUUGCAGUUAAAACGCUCGUAGUCGGAUUUCGGGGCGGGGCUGCCGGUCUGCCGAUAGGUAUGCACUGGCGGGCGCGUCCUUUUUCCCGGAGACGGCUGCUACUCUUAACUGAGCGGUGGUCGGAGACGGGAUGUUUACUUUGAAAAAAUCAGAGUGUUUCAAGCAGGCAGUCGCUCUUGCAUGGAUUAGCAUGGGAUAAUGAAAUAGGACUCUGGUGCUAUUUUGUUGGUUUCGAGCACCGGAGUAAUGAUUAACAGGGACAGUCAGGGGCACUCGUAUUCCGCCGAGAGAGGUGAAAUUCUCAGACCAGCGGAAGACGAACCACUGCGAAAGCAUUUG